AUUCCAGCUCCAAUAGUGUAUAUUAAAGUUGUUGCAGUUAAAAAGCUCGUAGUUGGAUUUCUGGCGGGAGCGAUCGGUCCUUCACUCAGUGUUGGAACCUGAUUGUCUCCUGCCAUCCAUGGAGAAAACUUAUCUGGCAUUAAGUUGUCGGGUAGGCAAUCUCCAUCUUUUACUGUGAAAAAAUUAGAGUGUUCAAAGCAGGCUUAUGCCGUUGAAUAUAUUAGCAUGGAAUAAUAAGAGGACUAUGGUACUAUUUUGUUGGUUUGAGGGACUGCAGUAAUGAUUAAUAGGGAUAGUUGGGGGCAUUAGUAUUUAAUUGUCAGAGGUGGAAUUCUCGGAUUUGUUAAAGACUAACUUAUGCGAAAGCAUUUGCCAAGGAUGUUUUCAUCA
rnacentral:rRNA from 1 species